GGUUAUGGCUCAGUGGUAGAGCACUCGCCUGGCAUAUGUAAGGUACUGGGUUCGAUCCUCAGCACCA
rnacentral:tRNA from 1 species